rnacentral:rRNA from 1 species
CCAAUAGCGUAUAUUAAAGUUGUUGCAGUUAAAAAGCUCGUAGUUGAAUUUCGGGAUCGACGGAUCGGUCGCGCCUCCGGUGUGUACUGGUCCUGUCGGUUUCUCCCUUCUGACGAACCACGAUGUCAUUAAUUUGGUGUCGUGGGAAAUCAGGACUGUUACUUUGAAAAAAUUAGAGUGUUUAAAGCAAGCAUUAGCUUGAAUACAUUAGCAUGGAAUAAUGAAAUAGGACGUUUGAUCUUAUUUUGUUGGUUUCUAGGAUCGACGUAAUGAUUAAUAGGGAUAGUUGGGGGCAUUAGUAUUCAAUUGUCAGAGGUGAAAUUCUUGGAUUUAUUGAAGACUAACUACUGCGAAAGCAUUUGCCAAGGAUGUUUUCAUUAAUCAAGAACGAAAGUUAGGGGAUCGAAGACGAUCAGAUACCGUCGUAGUCUUAACCAUAAACUAUGCCGACUAGGGAUCGGACGAUGUUAAUUUUUUAAUGACUCAUUCGGCGCCUUACG